GCAGAACUGGCGAGCGAUGGGUUUCGCGGCACAAGAGCUGCGCGAGGAACGUGACCUCCUCCUUGUGGCUGUGGCGCAGGAUUGGCAGGCCUUGAGCUAUGCGGGACCCGGCCUGAGAGCCGACCCCGAGGU
rnacentral:SRP_RNA from 1 species